UCCCAUGUGGCUCAGUUGGUAUAGCCUGGUGUUUGCAACGCCAGGGUUGUGGGUUCGAUUCCCACGGGGGAC
rnacentral:tRNA from 1 species